UGGAGCUCCGCCAGCAGCCAUGCUCUCCACCCUCCUCACGGGGAAAGGCUGCUCUUUACUGGCCAGCCCUCUGGAAAUGUCCCUCUGAGUCACUCUUAACAAGACAGGAGAAAGCAGUUUCCUGCUUUCACGCCUUCCCUUUUUUCUUUUCUCUCUUCCUUCCUUCUUCCGUUCCUCUUCCUUCCCUCCCUCUUGACCUUCCUCUCUCCCUCCCUUCUUUCCUUCCUUCCUGUGGCUCUCCUUUGUGAGUGACCUACCUCCGCUUCCUACUCUGUGACUUUGCACAUUCAAUCAUUGCCUGGCUCCACCAGCAGUAUAUAAGGUGAAAGAGGAUCCUGCCAGCUGUUCUAGGCCCAGAGGACACCUCUCUCUCUCUCUCUGUCACUCACACACACACACACACACACACACACUCUCUCUCUCUCUCUCACACACACCCACUUAUUGAUGGGGUAAUAGGAUCAAGAGGUAGCUUUGCAUCAUCAAAAAGAAGUCAGUCAUUCUAGCCUGGAGCUUUAGAAGACGAAGUAAAAAAGAAGUCAGACAGUCCUAGCUUUGAAUCCUGGCCCAGCCACUUACUAGGUGGGAGACCUUGGGACAAUCGUAUCCCUUCUGGGGGAAUUUCCCCACCUCCAUGUUGAAGCCAAGGAUGACUAGUACUCCAUGGAAAAGAGGUCAACAUGAUAACCAGGAGAUGUGGUCAUGGGGCAUUAAAAGGUUCGAAGCUGUUCCAGAAAGGAUGUCAUUGAUGUGGAAUACAGGAACUGUGGAUGCCUCCUGAAUGGGAGCUGCAAACGAUUAUCAGAGUCAAGCAAGAGGAAUGGCAAGGCAUGUGCUGAAUAACAUCACAUUAAUAUGGCUCUUAGCUACCUAACCCAUUAGGAGCCAUAAUUAGGAGAGUUUGAAACAGACUGCAAGCAUCUUCUCCAGAAAGAAGCUAGGAGCGAGUCCAGCGGAUUCGUGGAAAUGGAUGGAGGCUGCUGAGUUGAGAGACUGAGAAGUGGAGGUACCUAGGAAGGUCCUCCCUGAAAAUACAUCGGGUUGUAAAACCUGGAAAGAAAUACCUCCAUUUGUCAGGCACUCACAGGGCGCUCUCCUCUGGCAGCUCCCAUGUUGAGCGCCCAGGGCAGCGACCAGACGGCGUCCUGUCCUCCUGCACGGGGCCAGAACUGGAUGGUCCCGCGACACAUCGUGUCUGCAGCUUUAGAGGCCUCCCCAGGAGUGCUACCGCGGUCAUUUCUGCCCAGCUGUAAAAUAACACCCAAUCAGCGAGCCGCCAGCUGCAAACUGUUCCGACCUACUCCUCCCUCCCCGGCUUAAUUCCCACCUAUACCAAAGUGGCCCCACGCGGGCAGAAGCGAAAGACGGAAAUGAGGGGAGGCCAACUACUCGAGAUCUGCGCCCGAAGCAGAUUUUCCACGCGCUCAGAGUAGGGUCGGGGAAAGGCCCACUUGGGGCUUCUGAGAGAGAGGGAAGGGCAGGGAAAGGGCUGCCCCCCAGCAAGACACAGUUGGGUGAACAACUGAGUCUUUGCCUCGUUGACAAAGGAGAAUGAGGGACUCGCGCCAGGCUGGCUUGAACUGACUGGAGAAAAGCGACUUCUGUAAUUCAGGGCCCUCCUCGUGCGAAGGAAACUUUGGCAAAGCAGAAAGACAGGCAUGCAGUUUCCAGGCGGAAAAACGUGAACCAUGGGACAUGAUGGGCUCCAGGGCCGUGGAUGCAGUUGCCCGAGGCCCCAGGGCCGCCCCCGGAAGGCCGGGACUGCCAGGGACUCGGCGUGGGGGUGCUGACUGCCGCUCCAGGCCUCGGGGUUCAAGCACUCCAGCAGCAUCCGCUCACCACGCUCCCCGCCCACUUCCAUGAUCACGAGGGGGCAAGGCUAGCCAAUCCGGGGUGGCCACUGCCCGGCCCUGCGAGGACUCGAGGCGCACUGGGAAACUGCGCGGUGCCUAGAGAUCCCACAAAUUAGUGAGAACAUGCAACUCUUGUCUUUCGGUGCCUGGCUUAUUUCACCUGACAUAAUGAUCUCCAGUUCCAUCCAUGUUGUUGCAAAUGACAAGAUCUUCUUUUUCGUGGCUGAAUAGUACUUCCAUUGUGUCAAGCAAGAACAGACAUUCAAUGAAUGAAUACAUUUCUUCAAAGCCCAUAAUCCAAGUGAAUAGCAGGAUUCAUCUAUUCAUUCAAGAUGUUUCCUGGAUUCCAGCUCCAUGAGCCUUCAGCCUGAAACCGGUCACGCUGGGGAGAAAAAGCCAUUGGCUCAUCCAUCUGAAUCCCCAAAGACGCCUCCAUCACAAGCCAAUUGAGAUGCAAAAUGCCAGCUAAGGGGUUACAUCCACAGGGGGAGCAAAGCAGCUGUGAAAAUUAGAACACUAGAGAAAUUUAGAUCACUCGCUAAACCACGCACUAAAAACAUGCUACUGCCCCCCAAAGGGGCAAACAUUUUCAAACGCACGAUGUGUCCAAACCUCCACAGUAGGGCAUACUGUGGCCUUGUCUAAGGAAUUCCAUGUGCUUUAUUUUCACCUAUCAGAAACACCGGCAGGGGGCUGCAGGGAG
rnacentral:lncRNA from 1 species